CAGCAGCAGCCGCGGUAAUACAGAGGUCCCGAGCGUUGUUCGGAUUCACUGGGCGUAAAGCGUGCGCAGGCGGUUUGUUAAGACAGAUGUGAAAUCCCCGGGCUCAACCUGGGAACUGCAUUUGUGACUGGCAAGCUAGAGUCUGGCAGAGGGGGGUGGAAUUCCGCGCGUAGCAGUGAAAUGCGUAGAUAUGCGGAGGAACACCGAUGGCGAAGGCAGCCCCCUGGGCCAACACUGACGCUCAUGCACGAAAGCGUGGGGAGCAAACAGGAUUAGAUACCCCUGUAGUCCCUGUCUCUUAUAC
rnacentral:rRNA from 1 species